GAUGAAAUCUUUUCAGCAAAAACCAUUACCUCAACCUUAUGAAAUUUUGAAAUAUGAUUGGCUGAGUAGUGUUUAAUAAAUAUUUAAGUUGACAUACGAUAAUGUUACAAGUACUAAAAUUGGUAUUUUUCAGGAGGAAAAUAGAAAUGUGGAGAAAUACAACUAAAUGUACAAGCCAAGAGAUGGAUCAAAAAGCGAGAUGCCAAAGGAGUUUUUCAAGAUGAUGCCU
rnacentral:lncRNA from 1 species